rnacentral:rRNA from 1 species
UGAGGAAUAUUGGUCAAUGGUCGCUAGACUGAACCAGCCAAGUAGCGUGCGGGAUGAAGGCCCUCCGGGUCGUAAACCGCUUUUAGACGGGGAUAAGAGGGCGUACGUGUACGCCGUAUUGCAUGUACCGUCAGAAAAAGGACCGGCUAAUUCCGUGCCAGCAGCCGCGGUAAUACGGAAGGUCCGGGCGUUAUCCGGAUUUAUUGGGUUUAAAGGGAGCGUAGGCGGACUUUCAAGUCAGUGGUAAAAUCGUGUGGCUCAACCAUACCUCGCCAUUGAAACUGGAAGUCUGGAGUGCACACAGGGGUGCCGGAAUUCAUGGUGUAGCGGUGAAAUGCUUAGAUAUCAUGAAGAACUCCGAUCGCGAAGGCAAGUGCCCGGGGUGCAACUGACGCUGAGGCUCGAAGGUGCGGGUAUCGAACAGGAUUAGAUACC